GCGUUGUAGUCCAACGGUUAGAUAAUUGCCUUCCAAGCAAUAGACCCGGUUCAACUCCGGCAAACGCA
rnacentral:tRNA from 1 species